UACGUAGGGGGCUAGCGUUGUCCGGAAUCAUUGGGCGUAAAGCGCGUGUAGGCGGUCCGGUAAGUCCGCUGUGAAAGUCGGGGGCUCAACCCUCGAAUGCCUGUGGAUACUGUCGGGCUAGAGUGCGGAAGAGGCGAGUGGAAUUCCUGGUGUAGCGGUGAAAUGCGCAGAUAUCAGGAGGAACACCAAUUGCGAAGGCAGCUCGCUGGGACGUAACUGACGCUGAGACGCGAAAGCGUGGGGAGCAAACAGG
rnacentral:rRNA from 1 species